AUGGCAUGAUGUGGACAUUGUCUUUCCAACUCCUUCCAUCUCAUUAGUGACUCAUAGAGAAUUUCAUCUUCUUUUGGCCUAAAAGCUGUCAUUUGAUUCUUUAAUUCU